rnacentral:rRNA from 1 species
CCCUCUAGCACGCCGUCGGUGUGGGUAACCACUGGCCCGGCGUGUUUGGGAUGGGAAAAGGUGGCGGGGGUUUAGUUGCGUCGGAGGAGGAGGAGAGGAGGGAGAGAAGGGGGCGGCGAUACCAGAGAGGUCUCCGUGUGGGGAGGUACCUAGCUUCGUCGAUUGGUCCUAGACCUACUCCUUCUCCUCUAGGCCCGCGGGGUAACCACCUAGCUGAUAGUGCUCGAGGAGGGCGGUACCUCCUCGUCGCUCCGGCCUCUAGGUCCGCCGCGUACGGAGUGCCCCACCCCCUCUCCGGACGUUGUCCCCGCUCCCCGUAGGUCCAGCUUCGACGUCGCGAGGUCAGCUACCCUAACGAGACAUGCCUUCCCCUCAACGGCUGCCGACUUCUACGAUGAGUUUCCUACUCGAGGCUCGCCGUACGUUCCGAUCGACUGACGUCAAACUAAUGGCUAAGUAGAUACCGUCGUGUCCGUCCGCAUAAUAGAACCUCCAACGAAGAAUAAAAAUGGCACCUAGUUCAAAGAAGUAAAGGAAACAUCGAUGGAGACGAGGUAAACAAAAUAUAUAGUACAUACGAAAUAUAUAGGAUACACGACGGUACUAGGAACGAAGUGACUAGUACAACUAAAAGAUCUAAACCGACCCACGGCACAAGAAAAAACCGGGAACAGGCGAAACUAGUUACACGAGACCCUAGACCGAGACACUGACACUACUACGUGGGCGUCCCUCCUCCGUUGUAGCUGCGCUACCGUGUCGUCUCCUCUGACCCGAACAACACCUUGAAGGCCUCCGUCAUCCUGUACUACGGCGUGUAGUGUCUCUAGUUCUACCGGUACGCGUACGGCUACGGCGGGCGGCUGUAGCCGCUCUCGCAGUGGCGGCCGUUGCCGAGAUCACUGGAAAGGUCCUAGAAGAGGUACUCGAUGACCUUCCUGUGGUUGAGGUCGUAGUACAAGAAGUGCGGACCGGCGUUCUUCCGGUUCAACAAGCCGCUGUCGCUACUGCCGUACCAGUGGUCGAAGUCGUUGUAACUGAGGGUCCUUUCUUGUUCGUAGUUGUUCUCCCAUUCCUCCGACGUUUUGGAGUACUGGUUGUACCUGUUCCAUUGAUUUAGUCAACUUAACUACGUGUGACAGUUAAUACAAUGGUGUAUCUCUACUUUAACAGUGGUUCUUAAUGUCUUUUAGUAUGAGCGAUUUCAUGAUUUAGACUGCUGAUGUACGACGUAUAAAUCACUAUUUUGACUUAUGACUUCAUGAUUUUAACUGCAAGGAUUGGGUUCAACCUUCACAACGGGUGCUUUUAAGUCUUGGAGCCAUCAACAGCUACUGAGCCUGGAGGACGGUCUAAACGUCGGGCGUACAGGACGGCGGAGGGUGUGAUAGAGACGGAUCGGCAGAGUGAUCUGCUUCUACGCAUGCUUCAGCUCUGCGUAAGCCGAUUCGUGGUAUACGUCCAAAUUGUGCACGAAACCUUAAACCUAAUUUGACACGAACCCAAAACCACGUUUAAGUUACUACCAAAUACGUUCGGUUACCAAGAAUGUUCUUCACAAGAUUAGAUAAAAAAAGACAAAGGAAUAGUUGUCCAGUAACACGCCAUGUCUUUGAAAUGAGACUUAAACAGUGAUGUCCAACGUACGUUAAAGUAUGACAAUCAAAGUCUAAAAGGUUAAAAGAGAUACGUAUAUCAUCUACGAAGAUACUUAGACAUGGGUAGAAACCAAGUAGAAUAAAUUAAGUCAAUUUCAAUAUAACUUUUAAAGGGUCAAGAGAAAAAAUUACAACAUGAAUGAGCCUCAGAAAGAGAGGACGAUCCGAUUAAAUGUCUCAAAAUGACUGGACGUAAGCGAAAUACAGAAAAGAAGCAAGUAAACCGCUUGAUUGAAACAGUAGGUAUCACAUUAAAGGAAAACCCGAGGGGAACGUGGUCCUUCUAUACAGUUCAAGAGACUUAGAGCUUCACGGGUACCCGUAGUGUAAAUAAAUUAAUCAAGGUACAUCUCUAAGUUAGUAGAGUCACUUAGCAAAAGAAAAAAGGUUUACUUGACUUAACCCUAUCUAUCCAUAAUGAAAUUAAUAACACUAAAACCAAGUACAAUAAAGCACUUUCCUUGAUACCACCUACGUUUAAAGAACUACCUAAUUGAAAUAUAGAAGACAAAAGUUUGGUUCUAACACCACUUACCCACAACUAUACUCCACGUCCAACUGGUUGCCCACCUGGCCACGGCCGCACUCCUAUCCCGGCCACCUACCUUGUCUUCUGUCACCUGCUAUAACUGUAACCUCUUGCCCGCGUAGAGGUAUCCACCUUCAAAUAAAUGGACCUGCUACAACCCCUAUAAGACACCGGGUUCAAGGGAUGUCUUAUUACGGGUCAGAUUAGAGUUAUCACCCGUACUAUCGGAGUUUGAAGAGAAAAGUUGUAACUUCUUCGCCAAAUGAGCCUAGUCACCCGUACGUGAAUCUUUUGCUUUGACGAUACGUCUGCUACGUGAUGUACGUGCUGUCGACGUGCUACAGUUAGAUCGGUAGACAACGUGAAUCUAUUAUACGUGACUACGUGACUACACGACAUAGCACGUGUUUAGCAGACGAUACGCAGCACACGUAUCGUCGAGAGGAAUCUUUUUAUCGAUCUCUCAUGCUCCUCUAUAAGGACCUCAUUUAUUUACCGAACAAUACGACUAUGCAAUCUGUCUUCGUUUUACAAUAAAUAGUACGAGGACAACAUAGGUGUCUGUAUACUUAUGGAUGAAAGGGUGGCAACAUGUGUUUGACUAAAAUCAUAAACACGUAUGAGAAACAGAAUUCACCCGAAAGAGAAUUUUCCUUCCUCUUUAGAGUGUUCAAGGUAUCGGCGUCUCACUGAUCCAUCGUAUAUCCGGAAAGUUUAUGGGUACGGAGGUAGUCUCUUCAAAAAAACGUACCUGUACGUUUUAUUUUCAUAGUAUCUUUGUGAGGAA